rnacentral:tRNA from 1 species
AACAGACAGUGCGUCAGACUUCGGAUCUGACGGCCGCAGGUUCCAUUUCUGUCAUCUG